GUAGGACUAUGCGUUACGUUUUCAUCAAAUACACAGCAACUAGUAAAAAAUUCAUGCUCAGCAUUAAGUUGCCUGAUUUUGCAAAACAUGCAUGGCUAUCAGGGAUUAUCAGUAUCAAGGUAUUCAGGAAAAUCAUAUACUUAAGUACAAGUACUUUAAAUGUACUUGCAUGUAUCUUGCAUGUACUUAGGUAGACAGGUACUUCUAUUUAUUAACAUAAAUUGACAUUUCUGAUUUCAUAUUUCUGCAUUUAAUUUUAUAAGUAUUUUAUAUAUACAUACUUGUCGCGGCACAAUUUGAAUCGAUCAAUAGGUGUCCAGCCCAUUACGAUCAAUAUGUGUAGAGAGCAUAGAACGGGUAACGAUCUUAUGUGUGAGCGGCGAAAGUCGAAAAGCAGGACGUGGUGUAUUGGUUUGAUGCCGAAAGAAACAAGUUCAGGAAUAAAGUAUCUUUGGAAAUAGAAAAAGCAAAGUGUGAUAAUUAAGAAAAUCCAUACUAAACGUAACGACACUGUACGUAACAAUACAAGACCAUCUGUCUUAAGCAUUUUCAGCAUCCUUGUAUGGGGAUGAUUCGAACUGAUCUUCAAUUGACUGCAACGCGCGAGGAAUCAAUCUUAAUCCGCGCGCGAGCUUUUUGUAGUUUGUUGCUAGCUGACGCUAUUAAUUAACGAGUAUUCUUCCGCAAUGUGAGUUUUGAUCACGAUUUCCUUUUAAGAUCUUUUUGACACAUAAAUUAACCUCUGCGAUUCCACAAAUUGGGAGUUCGUCUGGAAUCACGACUAAAAGACACGUGUGUGCAAAAAGAUAGACAGAACGAUGAUCGCGCAUCGAAGAAGAAGGCGAAGCAGCAAGGACGAAAAGUGUCCUGUAACAAGAAAAAGCGUACGGCGAGCGCUUAACAAAGACAAUCAUAGACAUAAUGGCGGACGAUCUAACAACAUUGGAACUGAGCAGUUAGGACUGCCAACAAUGGACAGAAAGGCGGUGCUUUGAGGGAGACUUUGCAAAGCAAAAAGCAGUAACGAUGACGGCGCCUGUGAAGAUAGCGGAGAAGACGCACACAGCGGGUCAUAAACAGAAAGAGGUAAAUGUAGAUACGUUGUCAAAAACAGAGUUGAAAAAACAGUUAACUAGUUUUGGAUUAUCAGUGUCCGGGUUUAAGCUCAUGUCCAGAUUUGCGAAAGAUUACGCGUUGCUCUGCAGGACAAUGCAAGUGACGCGGAUGAGACCAGUGACGACAACGAAAUGAUAAACAAAAUGAUUGAAAACAGAUUAAUGGCGACAAUGGCAGGCAAUCACGUUAGUAUUAAAGAAAAACAAACAAUAGCGGAUUCUCGAAACGAGUAUCAGGUUUUCGAGGUGCAACAGAAACGAAAGAUACGCGCAGGAUAUUUGACGUUAACCUUUAAGGAUGUUGAAAAAUCGUUGGAAACUUAUAGCGGCGAUGGAACACAAAAUGUGCGUCAAUGGCUGAUACUGUUUGAAGAGACGGCAAACAUGUGUAUAUGGACAGAUGAACAGAGUGUGAUAUAUGCAAAGAGAUAAUUACGAGUAUCUGCGAAGCUAUUCACAAAUUUUGAGUGUCAUGUGCAAAGAGAGACUUGAAGCUCUCACGGAAAGCUUCGGCAAGAUGAUAAACAGCAGAGAGGUACAUAAAGAAUUAAGCGCUUAAGAAGAAAACUGACGAGACUUACCAAGAGUACAUUUAUCACAUGCUAAAAAUAGCGAAUCAUGCAGACAUCGAGUUAGAAGCAAAAAUCGAGUAUAUAAUCGGAGUAAA